rnacentral:rRNA from 1 species
ACUCCUACGGGAGGCAGCAGUGGGGAAUCUUGGACAAUGGGGGCAACCCUGAUCCAGCCAUGCCGCGUGAGUGAUGAAGGCCUUAGGGUCGUAAAGCUCUUUCGCCUGUGAAGAUAAUGACGGUAGCAGGUAAAGAAACCCCGGCUAACUCCGUGCCAGCAGCCGCGGUAAUACGGAGGGGGUUAGCGUUGUUCGGAAUUACUGGGGCGUAAAGCGCACGUAGGCGGAUCGGAAAGUUGGGGGUGAAAUCCCGGGGCUCAACCCCGGAACUGCCUCCAAAACUAUCGGUCUAGAGUUCGAGAGAGGUGAGUGGAAUUCCGAGUGUAGAGGUGAAAUUCGUAGAUAUUCGGAGGAACACCAGUGGCGAAGGCGGCUCACUGGCUCGAUACUGACGCUGAGGUGCGAAAGUGUGGGGAGCAAACAGGAUUAGAUACCCUGGUAGGACAGUG